CGAUCCUGAGAGCAAAGAGAGAAUAGCAGGAUCCUUUCAAGGGUUCAUAUAUCUAUAGUCAUCACCACGGGACUUCAUGUAAAAGUGACAGACAGAAAUGAAAAUAUGGUGGCAGCAGAGAUAGCUGGGUGCUCUGCUAUGAAGGGAAGAUGCGGCUAGUAAAAGCAUCACCUUUGAUACAGCGGAAGGCAGAGCUCAGACAAGAUUCUGAUUGUCACAGCUGAAUUCAUUUAGUACAUGCCUAGACUCACGCUGGCUCUCGGCUCAGAGAACAGAUGCACAUCCAUUAUUAAUCGUUGACUAUUGCAGUCAUCAUCUCAUCAUUGGGGUAGAAGUGCAUGUUGCUGUGACUAGAGAGAAGUGCAAUGUUCCUCGUGUGCAAAGCCAUCACAUGCAGGAGUUCCAUGAGUAUGCCUGGGCCUAGCAAACAUAGAAGUGGAUGCUCA